ensembl:lncRNA
GAGGGAGGAAAGAAGGAAGGAAGGAAGAAAGAAAGAAAGAAAGAAAAAAACCUUUAAAAUAAAUAAAUAAGAAGUAAAAGGGGCUGUAUAUUUCUGUUGUACGGCUGUGUCAUAGUUUAUCUAGCCAGCUCUCUGUGAUGACUAUUUAGGCUGUUUCUAACCAGAAGCUCCAACAAGCCAGAGUAGUGAAUCUGCCCAUUUUUGUUGCACUGCGGUACAGGCCCCUCUGAUCCGUCACAUGUGCAGGGGAGGGAGCAGAGUUUAUGGCAUGCCCUCCCCCAGCCACCAAGGCCUAUAUUAGUGCUGGAGUUUCCUCCAUAGGGCUGUAGUCAGAAGAGACUUCAUGUGGCUACAUGGAGGUACAGCUCAGAAAAAGCAUCCAGACGCCCCCUCCACUGAUCAGUGGUCUGGUAGCUGCAGCAAUGAAAACACACUGUGAGCUUUUCCAAAUAUGCCUGGCCAAGUACGCCACUGUCAUCUUUUCCAGCACGGCCCUCAGUCCCAGGGACUGGGCUGGUUAUGUGACUCACGCAGCUGGAGGCACUGCUUCUAAAUCCAGGGCAAUGUGGACCAACAGAUAGGGGACGAAUGGGAUGGAGUUCUCUGAAGGCUACCUAACUGUGCCUGUUUCUCUUCUGAAAAGACCUGGGCAGCUUAAGGCAGCUCAGUUUUCGUAUUCUCUUCCCUGAGAUCAAAGCUUUUGGUGAAGCUAGUGGUUCCUCCUAGAACAGCCGACAGCUGAAUGUCUGCCUCUGCCCGGCUUUGUCUGAAGAUGCUUCGCUUGACUGCCAGCCCCCCGUGAGCCCCUCAGUGUUUCCCCUCCUGAAAGAGACACCAGCACUGAGAAGCCCCACCCCCACCCCACCCCAAGUGCAUUCUACCAGGACACAGGAGAGACCUUUUUCAUAUCGAGGCCACUGUCCUAGCCCUCCUCAUGACAAAAAUUAGUUGAAAGUGACAAAUAUAAAGCUAUUGGUUCCUGCUACACAACAUUGUAUACUGAAAAUUCCCAAACAGACAGAAAAGUUGCAAGAAUUAUGCGGUGAACACCCAUCUAUCUGCCACUUGGAUUUUACCAUUAACAUUUUGCUAGAUCUGCUUUCCUCGUAGUAUGUUCUUCCAUCUCUCCAAGCCACUGAUGUUUGAGGCUUUUUAAAAGCCUAGCUUAAAUAUUCAAUUCAUUUGCUUUUAAAACUUCGGAACAGGAAACUUAAUGCAUUGUUUAAUGAACAUAGAAUAAUUUAGUUCCAUUCCAAAUUAGGCUAGUAGGGAGGGAAGAGAGAAGGAAGCUUCCAGGAAAAUGGACAGGGAGAACGUGGCAGCGGGAAGGCAAAGACGCGAUGAGAGAUGAGAAGACGGAGGUGAGGAGGGAGGCGUAUGAAGACUCAGGAAAAGAGUCUCGGGGUUUGCAGAUGAGAGCGGGUCACGUCAUUGGCAUGGGCAUUCGUUGAGAGCUGGGGUCUAGAGGUUUUGUACCCCAGUGGCAGUGUGUAGUUAAGGAUGCUGCUGGGGCCCAGACCACCUCCUGGGACUGAGCACGGCCUGUUGACUUCCCCCAGCUGCGGUCAGGACAGCCAUCCCAGGACAGUGGAGCGUGGUGUCAUCAUGCCUCACAGACUUCCUGGCCGGGGGGUCCAGCUCCACAGACAGCUGUCGAAUGGAGAUCUGGGAUCGGAACUAGACUCCAGCUUAUUUUUGAGGAAGAUUAGCCCUGAGCUAACAUCUGCUACCAAUCUUCCUCUUUUUGCUGAGGAAGGCUGGCCCUGAACUAACGUCUGUGCCCAUCUUCCUCUACUUUAUAUGUGGGACGCCUGCCACAGCAUGGCUUGCCAAGUGGUGCCAUGUCCACACCUGGAAUCCGAACUGGCGAACCCCGGGCCACCGAAGUGGAACGUGCAAACUUAACUGCUACGCCACCAGGCUGGCCCAGACUACAGGGGAGUUUCGGGAUGGAAUGAAGUCGGGAUCCUUCCCUUCGUGGUGACUGCCACUGCAACGUCCUAGGAGCCUGAGUCCUUUAUUUCUCACGACUUUUUCUCGUUCUUGGUCCCCUGAUCCAUUCCUAUGAGUUCUCACCUUAACAUUCUACAGCCAACUGCUUUGGGCUAACACGAUGGUGACACAGGAACACCGGAUGGAAAGCCACUUUGGGAAAAAUCAGGGGUUUUGACAUUUGCAAUAAUUGCUAGCUCAGCUAUCUCACAAGUCUGGCCUUCCUCAAAUACUGUUUAGGAAUAAAACAAGCUUGCUCCUGCUUUAGGUCCUUUUCAGUAGCUUAUCCCUCCUCUUUGGAUUAUUAUUUU